rnacentral:lncRNA from 1 species
GUAUGUCCACCCUAAGUGCUAUGGUGCCGAAUGGUCACUUGUAUUGCUAUGUGGAACUGUGGAAUGUCUGUGGAGAAGGCUUUACCCUGCAUGCCCUCUCUCUGGCUCCGUCCCUCUCUCCAUCUUCUUCCUCUUUCCUCUCUUCCCUCCCUUCUUUAGACAUCUUUAGAAAGCCUGUUCUGAUCUGGUCUGUGGUUGUGCAGGGAAAGAACUCUGACAGAAGAAUCAUCUCUGACUUCUGCAGAGGAGCAGACAAAUCACGCCCACACUUCAACCCUGCCUGCCACUCUGACGAGGUGCUCUGAGAAAACGCUGGGCAGGCCUUCCACCUGACCUCACUUUGCAGGUACGGGCAUAGGCUCUGCUGAGGAACAGGAGAGAGCCAGCCAGAGGCUUCUGACGGGCUUGGGUUCCUUCCUCUGACUUUUCUGAGGUCGUUUCCCCUGGGCUCUGGCCUGCAGGUGCCUGGAGCUCACUCCACACUCAGCUGUCUGGGUACUGUCUUUCUGAGCUCUGAUUGACUGAAAGGCCCCCAGGAGGGCUCGAAUCCCUAAUCUGCAGGAUAUGGGGGUCACGGUGCAGCUGCCAAAGCACGCCAGGUAGUGUGCUUAGGUAAAUGGGCAACUACCACACAAGGACAGGGGCGGCGGAUGACUUUCUGGGCUCUGGCUAUUUCUGCCAAGGAUGGAGUUCUGAGAAUGAUGCAUGUUAACUGAGACUUGCAGCCAAUGUCCGCAGCUAGCCGAACCCAUGGGAAAUCAGAACCAGAAGGCUUCAUAAGAACGGAUUUGUCCCACUUAAGGAGACAGACCUAGAACAAAAAGGUGACCUCAGUGGCCAGACUGAGUGUCUGCCAGGGACAAAGCCCUCUAGCUGGGGAAUAGAUGGGCAAGAGCCUGUUCAGAUGUCAGGGUCUCCUUAGCCAAGGUGCUUAGAACAUGUCCUACCCAGAGCCCUCAGUGGAGCUGGGGAUGGCCCAUCCCGAUCCAUUCCAUGCCUGCCUUUGUGUGAGGGUUUAGGACACCCUCCUGGCUUAUGGUGGCACGUCUGCCUAUGAGUUUCAAGGCAGACACCGUUCCCCUAACCCUCAGGAGGUCACUUUCAGCAUCCAUCCCUUCAAUUACUGGCUUCAGAAGGAUUUGUAGGCUCUCCACAGCGACUGCUGACGAUGGACAACUGUGAUAUGUACAUCUAAGCUGCUAGUAGUGUUUACAAUGAAAACCCCUGUUCAUUUGCACUCUCUUCUUGUGGCAGGCCCAGUGCCGACCACUUUCCCCAGCCUCACUGAAGACCCCUUCGGGUAAAGAGGCCAUUAUGGUACAGGUGAGAGGCUGAGGUGUAGUGACCUGAGCAUAUGACAUGGCCAGGUCUCCAGUGGAGAGCUUUGCAGAACUCACGGACUGCACUCCAAACCCAGGGUCCAGGAUGGAGGCAGCCUCUGCUUGUCGGCGCCUCUCUCCAGCCUUGACCCCUACAACAGUUUUGACACCCAGUGCACUGUUGCCCUGGAGGGGAACUAGGAGCACUGCUACAUUUUGGGGGCAAGUAGAGAUGCCUGAAAGGGGCCCAUGUUAAGUGACAGGGUGAGCGGCUUUCCCCAGGGCACAUGGCAAGCUAGAGGCUUGCCCAAGUCACCUGGCUCUCAGACCAUACAUGGCCAGUACAUGUAACAUUUAUCAAAGGCCCAAAGAGACACGGACAUGGAUUUCAGGAGACCCCUCUGCCUGUGUUCCUUCACACGACCAAUUAAAUUCUAAAUCAAGGACAUCAAUUCCCCACGAACCAAGCAACUACUGUGUAGUCCUCCGUGCUAAAUGCAAGUCCAGGCUCGAAAGGCAAUGGUGGCGGCAGCAGCAGCAAGGGGGUAACUCAGUGCUUUGGCAGGCAGAAAGGAAGGAGGUUCAAGGUGAGGCGGGCUUCUGGAACCUUCUGGUGAUUUUGCUAGUGCAUCUCCGCCCAGACUCCGAGAGGCAUGGACAACCCUGGGCGUGGUUGCAGAGUCUGGGAAGGAGGCAGAGGCCGCAGAGCUUCCUACUGACCUCUGCCAUGCAUCGCUGGGCAUUACUGUGUGUGCGCACACUGGGUACACACGUACUGUGUGUGUGGCGUUUGCUCGAUGUGCCGGGGGAUGGGUGCAGAUGGAAGCCGCCCUCUGGCUCUUCUCACGUGCGUGCGUGCGCAGACUCCAAAAGAAGCCUCUGACAAACACUCACAGAAGCACAUGUGGCGGGCUCUCCAGACCAGAUUCCGGAUUAUCUGGGAGAGGAGGAGGAGGAGGCAGAAGAGGAAGAGGAAGAGGAAGAGGAAGAGAGGGAGGAGGAGGGGGGAGGGGGAGCGGGAGCAGGAGCGGGAGGAGGAGGGGAGGAAGAGGAAGGAAACACAAGCCCAAACCAAAUCCUGAACAUCAGCAGUCUAGCCAUUGCCAAAGAAGGUGCUGUUCCUUAGGUCUCAGCCUUGGCAGCCAGGUAACCUUUGAUGAGGUUGGCUCCCGGGCCUUAACAUCCUUUUCUGCUGCUUCAUCCUCCUAUGGUCCAGCCUCUGAAUGCUCCCUACCCUCCUCCCCACAGUCAAUCAUGCUCUGUGACACGUCCUCAGGGCUCUCUUAACAGCAGUGUUCCUGCUGAAACCAUGUGUCCUGAGAGCCACCAGUCCCUGCUGCCCUCACCUGCGGGCCAGCCCUCCCCAGGAGCACCAGGAAGAGCAUGUUCACCGGGGCCUUCUGAGCAGUGGCCUCGCCGUGGAAUCUCAGACCUCAGCCUGGCCGUGCCCCACAGAUGUGGGUAAAAGGGUCUGGACUCAGAGUUUCGCCCAUGGUUUAGUAGACAUGUGACCUUGGGGAGCCCCUGAGGCCCUUGGAGGCUGGGGUUUAUCCUCUGAAACAGACUAGGUCCCCAGGCCACUGGUGUUUCCAGGAUCAAGCAGGUGAUACAGUGUUGCACAAGGCUUGGCUCAACACCAGCACAGACAAGCGCGGGUAAGCGCGGGUUCUCUCUGCCCGGACAUCUUACUUCUUCACAUUCUGUUUAUUGGUUCCCAAUUCCAACAUAAACAUCCCUUGAGUACUUUGCCUCCCUGUUUCUGCCACUGCCGUAACUCAGGCUUUCUUGAGGGGAGCCUCCUGCGUUCUGAGAACUAGCAUUUCAGAAUACCUUUUGUGCCGUCCAUUGCCGCCCGUACGGAAAAGUCCAAGGUAUUUUGUUUGUUUGUUUUAAAAUCAAGCCAUAUAAACCGUGUCACAACAAGAAGGCUGUCUUUCUGGAGGCCUCUGGUCACUUUUACAAAUGAUGUUAGGUUAUGACUCCUGGUAUGUGCUGCCCUCUAUGGACGAGUCACACACUCUCCCCUCUGUGCUUCUGUGGCAAACAGCAGACUUCUGUGGCGACCACCAGCAGACUUCCAUUAGGACAUCCUCGGAGCGGAGCGUACAGCUAACUGUCCUCAGACCCUUGGUGGAUGGCUUGGACCCAAGCUCCUCUCUGUGCCUCCAGCACUGACACAGAGCCACACCACACAGUAGUGUUAAGAACAUCCACGACCUGGUGCCUGUAACCCUGCGACCUAGAAUCACAGCACUCUGGAAUCAUAGGCAGGAAGACCAUGAGUUUGGAUCUAGUCUGAGUUAUAUAGCAAGUUCAAGGCCAGGCUGCGAUGUAGAGACCCUGUCUUAAAUGUGGGGUAAAAAAAAUAAACUUAAAAUUCCAUUAUUUGCAAGUGCCACCACUAACCUCUAGAGCUUUUCACCUUGCAAAAUAAAAACCCCAAAACUGUGAAAUGACAACACACCCUGCCUCCUGGCCACCAAUGUCUGCACUCUUCUCUCUGAGUUUGGCUGUGCUAAGGUCCUUGUGUAAAUGGAACCACACAUUAUUUGUCCGGAGAUUUGGGCCCUUUUGCCCAUAGCAUGUGCAAACUUGAACCAGCCUUGCCAGUGAGCUCCUCUGCCCUGGCUGACUAUGAGCUCAGUGAGAGUAGCUUGCCAGCCUGUUAGAAAUUUCUGUUUUCUCCUGCAUAAUCUCUUCUAAACAUUUUUUUUUCCAUUCCAAAGACAAAAGGGAAAAGUCAACCACUACCAUCGUCCAACUUGGCUAUGGCAGCCAAAGAUCAGUAGCGUCUCCCUCUAGCCAGGAGAUGGCUCUUUGCCCUAAGGUCUCCCAAUCCAAAGAAACCGUGCUGUCACACCCUUGUCCUCCCAGGGGCAGGCACAGUGGCUCCCCAGAGCCUCGCAGUAUUUCCCCAAGUGGUCACCCGUGUCGAGGCUGAGAGUCAUCAUGCUACGGCAGGAAGUAGCCUUGGCUUGUGGUGAUCUCCAGGGAUUUCUGAAGUCCAUGAGGACCCCAGCCUAUAAUACUUCCAUGUGGCAUAUCUAAGACAGGACCUGGGCUACUAGGGUUUCAAGCUCUCUGGUACUCUGGGACACGCUGAAGCUGUCCAAGGGAUCUAAUUCUACUUGAGGACCACUGUCCUGGAUGGUCCUUUGACUUGUGGUCCUGACCUGUUAUAUUCUCUCUGUCAUGGGUAGAUGGUUCUGGAAACAUCUGAUUUUGGCAUGAGACUUCUAAAAAGUACCACCAGCUUUUCUUUGUCUGCACAAUUUGAACACUAAAAACAACAACAACAACAACAACAAUAAUAAUACACCUUGAAAUACUGUUCAAGGCAAAGUAAAAGAUUCCUUCUUGGAUUCAGAUUCAGUCCAUGAAUUAAAAGUCUACAUUUAGGAUUGGGGUGGGUUUUGUAAUCAGUACUAAGGGGUUAUUAGUUUGGGAGCUUGGGACCCAUGUAAAAGUCACUCUGUGGUUGGUGCUGGUCCAUCCAAGCAUCACACCCCACCCUCUAGCACAGAGGGGACCAGCUUACCCACCUGGACCUGGCCUGGCUCAGCCCAGGCUUCUGCCCACCUGCCACAAUUGCCCCAAGCAAACAAGGAAGAUGGUACUGAGAUGAUAUGCCCCAGCGAUGAAGGCCACAGCUCCCAACAGCAGUGAGGGUCACAGCCCCCACAGCUGUGAAGGCCACAGCCGCCCCACAGUUGUAAGGGUCACAGCCCCCCACAGCUGUGAAGGCCACAGCCCCCCACAGUUGUAAGGGUCACAGUCCGCCACAGCAGUGAAGGUCACAGUACCACACAGUUGUAAGGGUCACAGUCCCCCACAGCAGUGAAGGUCGCAGCACCACACAGUUGUAAGGGUCACAGUCCCCCACAGCAGUGAAGGUCACAGCACCACACAGUUGUAAGGGUCACAGCCCCCCACAGUUGUAAGGGUCACAGCCCCCCACAGCAGUGAAGGUCACAGUACCACACAGUUGUAAGGGUCACAGUCCCCCACAGCAGUGAAGGUCACAGUACCACACAGUUGUAAGGGUCACAGCCCCCCACAGCAGUGAAGGCCGCAGCCCCUCACAGCACCCCACCUUCUCAUACACAUCCUUUGCUCUCCUCAUUUGGGAAAGGCCCAAGUUGGAACCAGCUGGUUAGAACUCAGAUUUGCCUUAACUUCUUACUCUGACCAGAAGCAAAGGGCCUGAUGUUCCCUCUGAACAUGUUCCCAUGGCAACUUAGAAAACCACACUUAGCCACAAAAUUCACAAAUCCCUGGAGAUCCUGAAAACUCACUAAGAGAUUAAAUGGUUGCUAUUUCAUUGAAACUCCACUCUCUUGCUGUGACUACUUACCACAAUGGUCCCUCAGCCCCAGGUAGCCAAGGACUGGGGUGAUGGAGUUUAGAGCCUCAUAAUACAUGCUGUAAACUCUUCCUCUAAGGCCAUUUUGCAAAGAGCAAGUCAUUUAUGACAUCUGUUUUAACCUUGCAUUCAGUUCUAGUGAGCACGGGUCUAGUUUCUAAUGGUAAGGAUGGUGCCAGGUGCCAGGUAGAGCAAGAGGUGGCAAAGACCAAAAACUACAAGGCUCAAAAGCCAUCAGGUGACAAGGGGCAUCUUGGUGAAGGGGCAAGUACAUGUGUUUUAAUAAGCCCAAAGGCAAGACGGCUUCAGAUUCCUCCCUCCUGGACAUCCACAGAGAUACAGGGACGUGGAAACCUCCAAACAGUGUCAGCCUACUGUCUUUAAUAAGGCAAAGAGGCAUAGUGCUUUAGGGUUGUUUCCAUCCUCAGAGGCUCCACAUCAAAAUGUCUGUGUAAGUCUUGGUGCUUGGGACAUCGCUCCUCAGUUUCUUGAAGUUCCUGCAAGUGAAGUCUUCAUUAUAUGAGAUGGGCGAACCCCCUUUUAGACUUUACUCUGACUUGAUAAUUCCCUCUUGCUCUUCUCUAUGUUUUCAGACAAAAAGAAUAGGGCAGGGGGAGUGGGAGUGGGAGGGGGA